GGCGACAGCUAGGAUUUUGAGAUUGGUACUUGGAUGUUGAAUGUCUCCCACGAUAAUUAACAACCAAGUAUCAAAGCUUAUUAUGUCCGAAAAGAGACUCUGUGAGACCUCUUACAACAGGCUGCUGUCCGAGAUCGGAAGGCACACGUC